rnacentral:rRNA from 1 species
UUAAAUUGAAGAGUUUGAUCAUGGCUCAGAUUGAACGCUGGCGGCAGGCCUAACACAUGCAAGUCGAACGGUAACAGGAAGCAGCUUGCUGCUUCGCUGACGAGUGGCGGACGGGUGAGUAAUGUCUGGGAAGCUGCCUGAUGGAGGGGGAUAACUACUGGAAACGGUAGCUAAUACCGCAUAAUGUCGCAAGACCAAAGAGGGGGACAUUCGGGCAUCUUGCCAUCGGAUGUGCCCAGAUGGGAUUAGCUAGU